UCACUAUCAUUGUCAAUGUUGUUGUAAUAUGUGAAGUCUUGCUCGAGAAUACACUGGGCACCUGAUUGUAAAAGGUAGAAUGAAAAUUGCAACAAAAAAAUUCUAACUCUAAUAGAAUACUAAAUAAAGUCUAAUAAAACUAUAAAAAUGUUAAUCAAGAUUUAAUUAAAUUUAAAAUAACCUUAAAGAAAUUACAAAUGAAACAAUAAGAAAUCUUAAAAGAAUUCAAAAGAAAUCCAUAAUAAAUCUUAAAAAAAUCUUAGAAUAAUCACAAAUAUAUCUUAAAUAAAUCUCAACUAAAUACUAAUUUAAUCCUAAUUAAAAUCCUAAUUGGACUUCAAUCAAACUCUAAGCCAAAUCCUAAAUAAAUCCUAAAUCCUAAACUCUAAACCAAACCUUAAUCAAAUUCUUAGACAAAUUUUAAAUCCUAAUCAAAGCCUAAUCAAAUCCUAACCAAAUCCUAAAUCCUAAAUCAAAUCCUAAUCAAAUUUUAAAUCUUAAAUCAAAUCCUAACCAAAUCUUAAAUUCUAAAUCAAACUCUAGACAAAUCCCAAAUCCUAACCAAAUCCUAAAUUCUAAACCAAAUCUUAAUAAAAUCCUAAACCCUAUACUAAACUCUAAAUCACACUCUAAUCAAAUCCUAAUCCUAAAUCAAAUUCUAACCAGAUUCUAAAUCCUAAACCAAACCUUAACCAAAUCCUAAUCAAAUCCUAAUCAAAU
rnacentral:lncRNA from 1 species